UUUUUUUUUUUUUUUUUUUUAAAUGAGAUCUCAUUCUGUCGCCCAGGCUGAAGUGCAGUGGCACAAUCUCGGCUCACUGCAACCUCCACCUCCCGGGCUCAGGCGAUCCUCCCGUCUCAGCAUCCUGAGUAGCUGGGACCAUAGGCGCGUGCCACCAUGCCUGGUUAAUUUUUUGUGCUUUUGAUAGAGAUGGGGUUUUGCCAUCUUGGCCAAGCCGAUCUCAAACUCCUGAGCUCAAGUGAUCUACCCACCUCGGCCUCUCGAAGUGCUGGGAUUACAGGUGUGAGCCACUGCACCCAGCCUUUAAUCAUUUAUUUAUGUCAGUAUGGACUCGUGAAUAUUUAUUUUCGACUUCUGAUUUAAUCUAAUACCUCAUCGUUUUGUUGCUCAGCUUGUUCUAGGUUUGGCCCUUGGGAGUUCUUUAGGGCUGGCUCCUGUGUCUCUCUGGCACAGCCCCACCUGUUUAUUUUUGAGCACUUCUUUACGCUCUGAUGCUCCAAGAUGCUCCCAGCUCAUCUUGUAUUUUCCCUGCUUCAGCCCCAGAAUCAGCCAUUUCUCUAAGGAGCCCUGGUUCUUUUAUUAGAGAAUGGUUUUCAGGAACCAAGAUCUGUGGGCUGGGUGUUCUUAUUGCUACAGGGGUGUUCCUGCAUUUAGGCCCUCUAGGAGACAGCUCUGGAUUUGCUUUCAUUUAAAAAUAAAGUUUCCCCUCCUGCCAAUUGCAGGGUCCAUUGGAGACUGCAGACAGCUGCUCACUGGGUUUUGAGCAUCGGACCUGUCUGUGGCCCACAGGUUUAUGCGUUCUCACAUGCCCUUGAAGGGCCUUAUGUCCAGGACUUCAAGGGAGAGAGCACACGAGGCCACCUCUCCCAAUGCUGAGCCACUUCCUGCGCUCAUUCCUGCUCAUCAGCAGGGCCAUGGCCGAGUUGCUUUGGGAAUGGGACUCAAGCCUGGUCUUGACGUGCCCUCAUAGCCCAGAUUGCUGUGGGUUUGCAAGCUGCAGGCUUACUCCCUACUGGGCCAACAGCUUUGUCAGUGGUAGCGAUAGUAGCCAUAGCCCAGCCGCAGAGCUACUGUGGCCACCUGGGUCAGGCCAGGCCAGGGUCAGGCACCAGGAAGGUCUGACUCAGCAAUCAUGCCCAGUACACUCAGGUGGCCCAACACUAAUGGGAGGAAGGCCCAGCCAGGUGCUCCCUGCACUCCCAAGGCUCACCCAACCCCAGCCACACCUGACACAGGCGGUCAGAUGUCUCAUGGAUGCCCAGUGGGCCAGGACCCAGAGGGAGGCAGCUCUCCUGCAGCAGCAGGGGUCAAGGCAGAGCGUGCCAGCCUUGAGACCCCAGGGCAGGCCGAACACCCUCCCAACUUCGCCAGCGCCUCUCCUUUAUCUCCCCGAAGCUCCAGGCUGAGAGUCAGGAGCUCUGGGUUCCAGACCUGCCUCUACCAGUGACAACAAUCAUGCCACUCCCUGCUUGAAACCUUCAGUGACUCCUUAUUGCUCUCAGCUUGAAUUCCCCACUCCUGGGCCUGCUUUACAAGGCCCUAGAGACCUCUCCAGCACCUCACGUCAUGCCUUAAUAACACCAAAUUGCUUGUGGUUCCCUUGCACAACCAUGUGGUUUCACGCCCCCGCGCCUCACUCUGCAUCACCCUCCCUUGGCUUCGCUGGUUAACUCCUAGUAGUCCCUGAGGUCUCAGCUCUGGGACCACCUCCUCC
ensembl:lncRNA